GCUUAUGCACAAUAAAUCUAUAAUUCCAUAACCUAAACUUAACCCUUCAUCUGUACUGGAUUAUCCUAUAUUUUUAUAGAAGUCAUUAUGUUAGAACUAGUAACAAGAAAUUACAUUCUCCAAAAUGUAUGCUUAAGCCAAAGAGGAUAUACCAUUGGCAAUUAACACAAUCUAAAUUAUAACACACACACACAACUAGUAUAACUUAAAAAAAUUAGUGUUAAUCUAACACCAGAGCAUUUAAGGAAAGAUUAAAAAAGAGAGAAGGAACUCGGCAAACUCCAGUCCCGCCUGUUUACCAAAAACAUCGCCUUCUGAUAAGCUAUAGAAGGUCCAGCCUGCCCAGUGACAAAAUUCAACGGCCGCGGUACCCUAACCGUGCGAAGGUAGCAUAAUCACUUGUUCUUUAAAUGAGGACUAGUAUCAACGGCAUCACGAGGACUACACUGUCUCCUCUCUUCAAUCAGUGAAACUGAUCUCCCCGUGAAGAAGCGGGGAUUUAUUUAUAAGACGAGAAGACCCCAUGGAGCUUUAAACCCAAUGUAUAACCCAACACACAAAUCAAUAAAGCCCUGAGGAUCUAUACACUGGUUUUAGGUUGGGGAGACCACGGAGUAAAACUAAACCUCCGCAACAAACUGGCUAAAGCCCUGAUCUAUGAACUACAACUCUAAGAGCCAACAAAUUGUUGCCAACGACCCAAUCACUUGAUUAAUGAACCAAGUUACCCUGGGGAUAACAGCGCAAUCUACUUCAAGAGCCCCUAUCGACAAGUAGGUUUACGACCUCGAUGUUGGAUCA
rnacentral:rRNA from 1 species